ensembl:lncRNA
AUCCUAGGAAAUUGCUUUGACGUAAAGCAAGUCAUCCGAAUGUGUACUUGUAAACGCUCUGUUUACUUAAUUGAAGCAAAUGCACUGAAGAGGUGCAGAAAGAUGAGAAUAUAAACAUGGACAAACACGUUUAUAGGCUCCAGAAAAAAAUAGUCUAGCGUUUCCUUAAAUCACUUUUGCCGCGUUGCGUGUUCAGAGCAAAUUCGAAUGGAAAAUUGUUCUCGUUUGCUAGCUCACGUAUCAAAGAGAAGAGUUCUCUCACCUUCGAUAGCUCAGUUGGCAGAGCGGAGGACUGUAGGUGCUCAUAGCGGUCAUCCUUAGGUCGCUGGUUCGACUCCGGCUCGAAGGAGGGCUGUCUCCGUGCGAGUUGGCUUCUUUUUUUUUCAAAAUGUUAAUUUGGCCAGAGGUGUGUAAAAAGCUCUUCCCUGACCGGGAAUCGAACCCGGGCCGCGGCGGUGAGAGCGCCGAAUCCUAACCACUAGACAACCAGGGACGAAAACCGAGAAAUUGGUGGCCUCUUCGCUGGCCAUGCUGGCCCCUGUCUACCACCAAAAGCUCCUACGAAAGGCACGUGAGCGUCAGCACUGGAAAGUGGAGCAAUAAGAUGGUGGCUUGGUCUGAUGAAUCAUGUUUUCUUUUACAUCAUGUAUGGCUUAGGGUUAGGGUUAGAAAAGGCUUGAAAAGACGCUUGGCCAAGGAGUUGCA